rnacentral:rRNA from 1 species
UACCAGCACCCCGAGUGGUCGGGACGUUUAUUGGGCCUAAAGCAUCCGUAGCCGGUUCUACAAGUCUUCCGUUAAAUCCAACUGCUUAACAGGUGGGCUGCGGAAGAUACUAUAGAGCUAGGAGGCGGGAGAGGCAAGCGGUACUCGAUGGGUAGGGGUAAAAUACCGUUGAUCCAUUGAAGACCACCAGUGGCGAAGGCGGCUUGCCAGAACGCGCUCGACGGUGAGGGAUGAAAGCUGGGGGAGCAAACCGGGA